UUCUACAUUGUCCCUACCGGAUAAUCUUUGGUGAACAACGGAGCAAAUUUUAACUUGGUCCCCACAUUGUCCGAAGACAAUAUUUUAGUCGUGCAGUGUAACUGAUUGCUGUGAUUAUCAUGAUCAAUUUAUGUGAUGAAAUGAAAGCACCAAGCCUUUUCCACGGGAAGAAUUGAACCUAGUUUGAGGGAAUUUAUUUAGCUGGUCGUUUCGAAUUGAACGGUUGACUAAGAAAUUAGGGUAAAAUUGCGAAGAGAAAGCGGCUUUCUUUUUUUCUUGCGACGGUCCCCAUAAUUUUUCACUACAUGAUAACAAAAUGUCUGCACAUGAGGCAUGAGCAGUUUGGUGAUAGGACAGAAACUUAAUGAGAACAACUUAAUGUUUCUUUGGGUCAGAUAUUUAUUGGAAGAGGCUAUAUCGGGUGAAAUAAUAAACAAAAUGCUCGGUGGGCAAAGGCUGCUUAUGCUGUCUACUAAGUCAGUGCAAUGAGUAAACGUUUACUGGCGGGUAGCAGAGGGAUACAAGUUGUUAACGUUUUGACUUCAGUGUAAUGUAUCGAAAAACAAAAACCCUAAUUAAGGGGACCCACGGAGUGGUGAGUGAAUCUGUUCAAGAUAGGAAACAUUAGACGGCAUAAAUUUAUUUUUUUUGUAGUUCCCAUUGCUCCGGUCUUGGGGCAACGAACAAUUUAGGGGACCAAAGGUGAUCGAAAUUUGUCAAAGGAUAAGAAAGAUGAAAAGACUAUUUUUUGUCUAAAGAACCGAGUGAAAAUGUUUUUUCGUGACGUGCGUUAUCUCUACUUCUAAGUGUUGUGAUAAAUCCAAAUGUUUUGCAUUUUUUUACUGAUCUGUUAAUGAAACAUAAGCCCAACUGCCAGUAUGAUAAGCAUAGCAAGUUCCAUGAGACUUCAGUUGCAUCUGGAGUAUAAGCGGAGCCAAAAUGUAACUAUUUUAAAGGGUGAGGUGUGUUCCAACAGAGAAGUUUUCAAAGGGUGAUCUCCCUCUUCAAUAUAAAGGGGAACUUGUCUCAGAGGAUGAAGGUUAUCAAAGAGAAGAUUUGCAUGUGGAAGAACUAAGAAGCUUUCUCUUCUUUUUUAAGGAUGGAUUCAAGUGUUUACGCCUUGAUGCAACAUUCUCUGCUGGACUUGGAAGACUAAAGAACGAUAAUCCAUUAAAUAAAGCAAAUGAGAAAGAUUAAAGGUGAAGACAAAGUGUGCCUUGCCCUUUGUGGACUUCGGAACGGUGAAGGUCUACACUGUGACCAUGAAGUUAGAGAUCUUCCCAGGCGACAGCUAAAAGGUAAUGAGAGCAAGGCAGAUGGACUAAAGAAUGGGACAGUAAGGUGCAACACAAAAAAGAAGAAAAUAUGAACAAGGGCAACAGCAGUCCUGACAAUGAUGAAAGUUUCCACAUGGAUGUAACAACAAAUUCUGAAGAGAUUUACUCCCUGAAUCAGAUCAAUGACUGUCUAUUUGCAGACUCCUUGGAAACUGGGGAAAGAAAUCUACAUCUCCAGUUCCUUCUUCUUACAACGGUGGAAUAAUGCAUCACAGAGCAAUGCACCUGAAAAAGUCCUUCAUUCUGUGUCAGGUAA